rnacentral:misc_RNA from 1 species
AAGACUAUAGACCUGCGGAGUACCUGCGGAAGGAUCAUUAUCGUAUUGUAACAAUUGGGGGGGCCACCGUGGGCUGUCGCUGACCCUUUGAAAGGGGGGUCGUGCACGCCCCCAUAGUGUCAUCCUCAUACAAUCCAACUCACUUCUGUGCAUCACCGCGUGGGUUCCUUUCUGGGUCGAGUCAGACUGGCUCAGAAAAAAGGGGCUUGCGUUUUCCAUACAAAUACCCUUAUAAAUCCA